rnacentral:rRNA from 1 species
AGGGCGGGACACGUGGUAUCCUGUCUGAAUAUGGGGGGACCAUCCUCCAAGGCUAAAUACUCCUGACUGACCGAUAGUGAACCAGUACCGUGAGGGAAAGGCGAAAAGAACCCCGGCGAGGGGAGUGAAAAAGAACCUGAAACCGUGUACGUACAAGCAGUGGGAGCCCCACCACUAAGCCAGUGGUGAACUCCACAUCCGCAUCCUUUGCUGAGGAUACGGUUAACGGAGCGAAAGCGACGUUCAACCGCAAAACAAGCAGAGGGGGCUUAGUGGUGGGGUGACUGCGUACCUUUUGUAUAAUGGGUCAGCGACUUAUAUUCUGUAGCAAGGUUAACCGAAUAGGGGAGCCGGAGGGAAACCGAGUCUUAAUUGGGCGUUAAGUUGCAGGGUAUAGACCCGAAACCCGGUGAUCUAGCCAUGGGCAGGUUGAAGGUUGGGUAACACUAACUGGAGGACCGAACCGACUAAUGUUGAAAAAUUAGCGGAUGACCUGUGGCUGGGGGUGAAAGGCCAAUCAAACCGGGAGAUAGCUGGUUCUCCCCGAAAGCUAUUUAGGUAGCGCCUCGUGAAUUCAUCUCCGGGGGUAGAGCACUGUUUCGGCUAGGGGGCCAUCCCGGCUUACCAACCCGAUGCAAACUGCGAAUACCGGAGAAUGUUAUCACGGGAGACACACGGCGGGUGCUAACGUCCGUCGUGAAGAGGGAAACAACCCAGACCGCCAGCUAAGGUCCCAAAGUCAUGGUUAAGUGGGAAACGAUGUGGGAAGGCCCAGACAGCCAGGAUGUUGGCUUAGAAGCAGCCAUCAUUUAAAGAAAGCGUAAUAGCUCACUGGUCGAGUCGGCCUGCGCGGAAGAUGUAACGGGGCUAAACCAUGCACCGAAGCUGCGGCAGCGAACGUAUCACCCAAGACAACUUUACGGAGUUGACGAUUGACGGAGCGAAGCGACGUCAAAGCGUUCAUUAAAGUCGAGUUGGCUUAGGGAUACGUUCGUUGGGUAGGGGAGCGUUCUGUAAGCCUGUGAAGGUGUGUCGUGAGGCAUGCUGGAGGUAUCAGAAGUGCGAAUGCUGACAUAAGUAACGAUAAAGCGGGUGAAAAGCCCGCUCGCCGGAAGACCAAGGGUUCCUGUCCAACGUUAAUCGGGGCAGGGUGAGUCGACCCCUAAGGCGAGGCCGAAAGGCGUAGUCGAUGGGAAACGGGUUAAUAUUCCCGUACUUGGUGUUACUGCGAAGGGGGGACGGAGAAGGCUAUGUUGGCCGGGCGACGGUUGUCCCGGUUUAAGCGUGUAGGUGUGUGUUCCAGGUAAAUCCGGUUCACUUUAACACUGAGGCGUGACGACGAGGCACUACGGUGCUGAAGCAACAAAUGCCCUGCUUCCAGGAAAA